UACGGAGGGUGCAAGCGUUAAUCGGAAUUACUGGGCGUAAAGCGCGCGUAGGCGGUUUGGUCAGUCGGAUGUGAAAGCCCCGGGCUUAACCUGGGAAUUGCAUUCGAUACUGCCUGACUAGAGUGUGGAAGAGGAAGGUGGAAUUCCAGGUGUAGCGGUGAAAUGCGUAGAUAUCUGGAGGAACAUCAGUGGCGAAGGCGGCCUUCUGGUCCAACACUGACGCUGAGGUGCGAAAGCGUGGGGAGCAAACAGG
rnacentral:rRNA from 1 species